CCUACGGGUGGCAGCAGUGGGGAAUAUUGGGCAAUGGGCGCAAGCCUGACCCAGCAACGCCGCGUGAAGGAAGAAGGCUUUCGGGUUGUAAACUUCUUUUCUCAGGGACGAAGAAAGUGACGGUACCUGAGGAAUAAGCCACGGCUAACUACGUGCCAGCAGCCGCGGUAAUACUUAGGUGGCAAGCGUUAUCCGGAUUUACUGGGUGGAAAGGGCGUGUAGGCGGGGAAGCAAGUCAGAUGUGAAAACGACGGGCUUAACCUGUAGCCUGCAUUUGAAACUGUUUUUCUUGAGUACUGGAGAGGAAGACGGAAUUCCGAGUGUAGCGGUGAAAUGCGUAGAUAUUAGGAGGAACACCAGUGGCGAAGGCGGUCUGCUGGACAGUAACUGACGCUGAGGCGCGAAAGCGUGGGGAGCAAACAGGAUUAGAUACCCGGGUAGUC
rnacentral:rRNA from 1 species